GACGAACGCUGGCGGCGUGCUUAACACAUGCAAGUCGAACGGAAAGGCCCUGCUUUUGUGGGGUGCUCGAGUGGCGAACGGGUGAGUAACAUGUGAGUAACCUGCCCUUGACUUUGGGAUAACUUCAGGAAACUGGGGCUAAUACCGGAUAGGAGCUCCUGCUGCAUGGUGGGGGUUGGAAAGUUUCGGCGGUUGGGGAUGGACUCGCGGCUUAUCAGCUUGUUGGUGGGGUAGUGGCUUACCAAGGCUUUGACGGGUAGCCGGCCUGAGAGGGUGACCGGCCACAUUGGGACUGAGAUACGGCCCAGACUCCUACGGGAGGCAGCAGUGGGGAACAUUGCACAAUGGGCGGAAGCCUGAUGCAGCAACGCCGCGUGCGGGAUGACGGCCUUCGGGUUGUAAACCGCUUUCGCCUGUGACGAAGCGUGAGUGACGGUAAUGGGUAAAGAAGCACCGGCUAACUACGUG
rnacentral:rRNA from 1 species